CAGGGGCAUGUGCCUCGGUUGGGGGCACAUCCCCAGUGGGAGGUGCAGGAGGCUGUUGAUCAAUGUUUCUCUCUCAUCGAUGUUUCUAACUCUCUAUCCCUCUCCCUUCCUCUCU